UACGGGGGGGGCAAGCGUUGUUCGGAAUUACUGGGCGUAAAGGGUGCGUAGGCGGUUCGCUAAGUCGGAUGUGAAAACUCUGGGCUCAACCCAGAGCCUGCAUCCAAAACUGGCGGGCUAGAGUUCUGGAGGGGGUAGCGGAAUUCCUGGUGUAGCGGUGAAAUGCGUAGAUAUCAGGAGGAACACCGGUGGCGAAGGUGGAUCUCUGGGCCUUACCUGACGCUGAGGCGCGAAAGCUAGGGGAGCGAACAGG
rnacentral:rRNA from 1 species